GACGAACCGUACAAACGUUAUUCGGAAUUACUGGGCUUAAAGGGUGCGUAGGCGGCGUGGCAAGUUGGGUGUGAAAUCCCUCGGCUUAACCGAGGAACUGCGCCCAAUACUGCCGUGCUUGAGGGAGACAGAGGUGAGCGGAACUUAGGGUGGAGCGGUGAAAUGCGUUGAUAUCCUAAGGAACACCUGUGGCGAAAGCGGCUCACUGGGUCUCUUCUGACGCUGAUGCACGAAAGCUAGGGUAGCGAACGGG
rnacentral:rRNA from 1 species